AGAGCAGAAUAGAUGAUCGCUUCCCCCACCUUUGGCGGGGGAGGAGGAAAGUCCGAGCUCUCCAGGGCAAGGUGCCACGUAACGCGUGGGCCCGUCAGGGUUAAUCCUGAAGGGACGGAAAGUGCCACAGAAAACAGACCGGCCAUUUGGCUAAGGGUGAAAAGGUGGUGUAAGAGACCACCCGUACCCGUGGUAACACGGGUCCGGGCAAACCCCACCUGAGAGCAAGACCAAGUAAGGAAGAAAGAGGUUGCCCGCCUCGUCCCUAACCUUAAGACCAGGGAUUCGUCCUGAGCCGAAGGCAAAGGGUAACUUCCGGGUAGGUCGCUUGAGUCCUUUGGCAACAAAGGACCCAGAUAGAUGAUCAUCGUCCCGAGUCCCGCCGACGGCGGGAUCGAAGGGAACAGAACUCGGCUUAUUUUCUGCUCUGGCA
rnacentral:RNase_P_RNA from 2 species